rnacentral:rRNA from 1 species
AUGGCGGCGUAUGAGGAGUCGGCGGGCAAGGAGAUGGCCGGCCAUGAAGGGUGCCAAAAUUGUAGUGUUGAGAAGUGCUCGUCGACCGGCGGCCGGUGCGCCACCAAAAGGAAGGCCGAGGAGGCGGCGGCGGCCGGCGAGGAGUGUCCGAUGAAGGUGUGCAAAGUGGAGGCGGCGGCCGGCCGUUCUGAUGCCUUUUCUGCGGCUGCGCCGGACGAUGUCGCAGAUUCAUUGAAGCCGGCGGUGGAGGCCGCCGUACGCGAGAAAAGGUUGACGCGGCUGCCGCAGGAAGAGAUCAAUUGGACCCUUGCCCAUGUGGUGGAUGGUCCUGUCCCUCAUCACUACGAGUCCUUGAAGCGCGAAAACCCCAGCUUGCUGCCCUCGCCGGCGGAGCAGAUGGACAGCUGGAAGGUUGCUCUCUAUAAUGGUUGCCGCGCUUUCUUUGCCGUUCGAGAGAGAUUCGCCAAGUAUCAGGCACUUGUCCGGGCUGAGUAUGAGAAGCGCGGCUACGUUGAGGUUGACGACGACUUCCUGACCCGCAGGGCGCACCUCCGUGCGUAUAACGAUGUCCUACGCGCCAAGGCAAUGAAAUAUGUCGCCCAUUUGGUUGACACUGGCGAACUUUUGGUCGCUGGCCGCAGCCCACGAAUAGAUUGA